GCCGGGCGCGGUGGCUCAAGCCUGUAAUCCCAGCACUUUGGGAGGCCGAGAUGGGCGGAUCACGAGGUCAGGAGAUCAAGACCAUCCUGGCUAACACGGUGAAACCCCGUCUCUACUAAAAUACAANNNNNNNNNNCCUCAGCCUCCCAAGUAGCUGGGACUACAGGCGCCCGCCACCAUGCCCGGCUAAUUUUUUUUGUAUUUUAGUAGAGACGGGGUUUCACCGUGUUAGCCAGGAUGGUCUCGAUCUCCUGACCUCGUGAUCCGCCCGUCUCGG
rnacentral:SRP_RNA from 1 species